CUCCUACGGGAGGCAGCAGUGGGGGAUAUUGCACAAUGGGGGCAACCCUGAUGCAGCGACGCCGCGUGAGCGAUGGAGUACUUCGGUAUGUAAAGCUCUGUCCGCAGGGAAGAGAAUGACGGUACCUGACCAAGAAGCCCCGGCUAAAUACGUGCCAGCAGCCGCGGUAAUACGUAUGGGGCAAGCGUUAUCCGGAUUUACUGGGUGUAAAGGGAGCGUAGGCGGCAGGGCAAGCCUGAUGUGAAAGCCCGGGGCCCAACCCCGGUACUGCAUUUGAAACUGUCCGGCUGGAGUGCAGGAGAGGG
rnacentral:rRNA from 1 species